GAUGAACGCUGGCGGCGUGCCUAAUACGUGCAAGUCGAGCGAACGGACGAGAAGCUUGCUUCUCUGAUGUUAGCGGCGGACGGGUGAGUAACACGUGGAUAACCUACCUAUAAGACUGGGAUAACUUCGGGAAACCGGAGCUAAUACCGGAUAAUAUUUUGAACCGCAUGGUUCAAAAGUGAAAGACGGUCUUGCUGUCACUUAUAGAUGGAUCCGCGCUGCAUUAGCUAGUUGGUAAGGUAACGGCUUACCAAGGCAACGAUGCAUAGCCGACCUGAGAGGGUGACCGGCCACACUGGAACUGAGACACGGUCCAGACUCCUACGGGAGGCAGCAGUAGGGAAUCUUCCGCAAUGGGCGAAAGCCUGACGGAGCAACGCCGCGUGAGUGAUGAAGGUCUUCGGAUCGUAAAACUCUGUUAUUAGGGAAGAACAUAUGUGUAAGUAACUGUGCACAUCUUGACGGUACCUAAUCAGAAAGCCACGGCUAACUACGUG
rnacentral:rRNA from 1 species